UGGCCUGUUGCGACUGGGACAGUGGACAGCACCCAGGUGUCCUGUAAUUAAAAUGCUCUUGACACCAAUGCAUCCUAGCAUCAGAGCUUCGGGAAGCCUUCUCAAGUGUGCAUGGGGAGUACCAUGUCUUUCAUCAAUAAUGAAACUUUCUAAUGUCUUGUAAGACAUGCUGCCAAGAGACGUGCCAUUCUGUUAUAAAAGAUCAGUAGCUUCCUUUAUUGACAGGUAUAUUCUACAUAGAACAUUGAGCUACGGAAGACUCCCACCUAAGGGAAUUAGUUUACCACUUUCAGAUAAAGACUGCUGAGAAGAGCACCCUCUGGUGUUGCCACAGAGGCAAGUGCUACCACACAGGCAUGCUGCAGUGAAUUUAACUCAUCCUGUGUUCCUGCAACCGUUGUUUAAGGAUGCUAUUCUGAAAAGACUGUGGAGGAAGAAAACCCUUUACUCUGUUGUUCAGGGAGAAACUGACACCACUCAACUGCCUGGCACUGAAAAUGUGGCAUCCAGUCCACUUUACCACCAGUGUUUAAGGAAACCAUCUCUGAUAAGGAUGAUUGAGGAAGACUACUCUUUGGCUUGCUGACAGCAGCACAGCUGACACACCCAGAUAUCUGUUUGGUCUCCUGUGAACUUUCAACCAGGAUUUAAGGAUGCCAUUCUGGUUAAAAGCUCAAACAACUUCAAGGAAACUUCAGGGAAAAGAGAAGGCCUGGAGUCUGAUCCUCCACUUCAGAGAAGAGGGGUCAGCUUACUGUAUGAUUAAGUAACACAAGGCACAGUAGCCAUCUUUUUCAUUAUGUUGCAACACUGAUCACGUGCCUCGAUAAAAUGGCUGAUUCAACAAGAUGAUGGCAACACGAAGGGGAGACUUUG